GGUUGACCUCGGAUCAGGUAGGAAAUACCC
rnacentral:rRNA from 2 species